AGAGAGAGACAUGCGCGCAUAUCAAUAAGCGGAGGAAAAGAAACUAACUAGGAUUCCCUCAGUAACGGCGAGUGAAGCGGGAAGAGCUCAAAUUUGAAAUCUUCAAGGUUCUACCUUGACGAAUUGUAGUUUAAAGAAGUGUUUUCUGUUGGAGUUUUGGUAAAAGUUCUUUGGAAUAGGACAUCAUAGAGGGUGAGAAUCCCGUAUUUGACCAUUAUUUCCAGCUUUGUGAUACACUUUCAAAGAGUCGGAUUGUUUGGGAAUGCAGUCCAAAAUGGGUGGUAAAUUUCAUCUAAAGCUAAAUAUUGGCGAGAGACCGAUAGCGAACAAGUACCGUGAGGGAAAGAUGAAAAGAACUUUGAAAAGAGAGUUAAACAGUACGUGAAAUUGUCAAAAGGGAAGCGUUUGACACCAGUGUUGUUUUUCUGAAAAUCAAUUAAAGAACUGUUUAUGCUAAGCUGUUUAGACUUUAUCAGCUAUACUGUUUAGUUUUGAGCUUUUCUUUAAUGCACUUUUCAGUUAACAAGUCAACAUCAAUUUCUUUUGCUGUAAAAAAGCUUGAGGAAGGUGGCUUGAGAUUCGUCUUAAGUGUUUAUAGCCUCUUGCCUAUGCAGUCGGAGAGAUUGAGGUCUGCAGCGUAGAUCCUUCGGGGCUAAAUGCAUUUGUGCUAAGUUAUAGCAUUUUAUAGACAACUUGUUGACUAUGAUUUGUCUUGUAGCUUACUCGCUUAUGUUAUUUUACCUACGCUUAGGAUGUUGAUGUGAUACUGCGAGCA
rnacentral:rRNA from 1 species